rnacentral:misc_RNA from 1 species
UCCGGCUUGAUGCCGGCGGUCUCGCUAGACACUUGUAACUAGCGACGAGGGUUGCGCUCGUUGCGGGACUUAACCCAACAUCUCACGACACGAGCUGACGACAGCCAUGCAGCACCUGUGCACGCUCCCUUGCGGGUCGUUCCGCUUUCGCUUCACUACUACGUGCAUGUCAAACCCAGGUAAGGUUCUUCGUGUCGCAUCGAAUUAAACCACACGCUCCGCUGCUUGUGCGGGUCCCCGUCAAUUCCUUUGAGUUUUAGCCUUGCGGCCGUACUUCCCAGGCGGAACACUUAACGCGUUGGCUUUGGCACGGAUAGUUUUGACACUACCCACACCUAGUGUUCAUCGUUUACAGCGUGGACUAC